CUCACACCCGUCAUACCACCCAAAGAUCUACGAAUGCUCACAUCCUCAUCUACGAAUACUCACACCCUCAUCUAUCUUAGAUUGAAGAACACUCGCGCCCUAAAAAGCUAUUAUCCAUCUUGAUCACCCUAACAUUUACUCUUAACCAUAUUUGGUUACCCUAAGCCUCGUUAGAGCAACUUUGUCAUCACUAUCACCGAUGACCUCAUAUACCCAAACCCCAAGUCUCUUCUUUGUCUAUUCUCACCAUAGUUGUUGAGAGUUUCUAACCCCAAAAUAGAGAAGCUUCAAAUGCACUACCAACCAACUAGUUAGCAAUGACAUCAAACUUUUUCUAAGCUUGAAACAAAGUAGCACAAUGGUGAGUUGCUAUGACCAACAAGGCCAGACACAAGAGGGAAUCUCUAUGUGAGAAAUCCAUGGAUUUGAUUAUGAACAUCAUCAAACUAUCAUCUCUAUCUCUUGCAAGGAAGAGUUUUAGAACAGCCAGGCUGCCAGCCAAGCGAAACCGGGUGCCGGUGACUGGUGCAGUCACGGUAUCCAUACCCCAUCAACUUCCUGCAAGUCAGGCGUUACAGGAGCCAGAGAAUGGCUCUAAGUCUUAUUCCUACUUGAUUGAGAUAGAAAGAAAGAGCCCCUCCUACAUGAUCCCCGAAAUUGAGAACGUUGAUGACAGAGCUUCAGAUUAUAUCAGGGGGUUUCAUGCAAAGAACCGGCAUGAUUCCAGUACUGCAUCUAAACAGUUAUCAUAUAUAUUGUCUCCCCCACCUCCAUUUUAUAAGUAGCCUUCCUCUCAUGCUUUGGUUGGCGGACUGCACCGCAAAAAUCAGAAAAGGUAUGGUUCCAAUGAGAUUCCAAUUUUUAUUUUCUUUUCCCUUCUCAGAAAUCAAGUGUAUCUGAUGUACAUGACUCAGAAAAAAGCUGUUUCUGGUUGAAAAGUAAGCAAAGAAUGAUUAUACCA